rnacentral:tRNA from 6 species
GCCAGGGUAGCUCAGUGGUAGAGCAGCAGACUCAUAAGCUGUCGGUCGUGGGUUCAAAUCCCGCCCCUGGCA